AAGUAGAAUACGUUUAUAGUAGGUGUGUGAAGGAUCAAUAAUCAUUAUUAUUGGCAGUAAUAGAGGGCCCCAAAAUCAAAUUUUUCUUAGGGCCUCAUGGAGGCUUGGGCCGGCCCUGCUCGGGAGACAUCGCUGGGUUGAAGUUAUGCAGCCCACAGGACCUUUUCUCUCUACGCAAGAGAAUGCUGCUCUCCCCUCUGAGGAGAUAGAAUGUUGACAAUUCGCGGGCAUAGGCUACUACAAUUCCCUUAAUGACAAGGCUAUGUAGAACAACAUGUAUCAGCCUUGGCUUACCAAUAUAAUGGUCAUAUUUGAUGCAACAAAGUAUGGAGGAAAGAGGGAAAUGUCAAAACUUGUUUGAUAUCAAUAUAGGCUAGUUUAGGUAUCAAUAUGUAGUUUAGAGUUUAGGUUGUUUCAUUAGUGUAUGUAUAUUACAAUUUACUCUAUACCUUCCUGUCCCAUAGAGACUGACAGAGUAGCCUAUCUGCAAACUGCACUUGGAUAGGUAGCCUAAGGCAUAAAAAAUCUUUGUUCGAUGUUGGAGUGUAUUUUUUACAGUCACAAUAUCACAGUAUGACUAACCCACAACCUGCUCCACAGUAUUUUUUCAUUAGAAAGACCAACAUCUAUCGUCAGUAUGACAGGUAAAUGGUGCCAUAUUUGCCAGACACAUGGCAAUGCGGAGCAGUUGGCAGUGCUUGAGGUUAGGAAUAAGUGAAUGGUUGAGAGUAAUUAUUUGCAAUACUUUUUAAUAACAUUGAAGAACAACACUGACUUUGUCCUUGUCCUUACACAGACAUUAUGAAUAACAGAAAGUUUUGCCAUUGAGCUACACACACCUUAUUUGUGUGAUGGAGCCGAGCGGGGAUGCAAACAGUUACAGAGCAGAGGUCAAAGUGAGGAUGGAGACCAGAGAGGAGGUGGACAAAUGGCUGGCGCAUUUCCAGACUUCCUCCACCCUAACGUGGAGGAAAGCAAGAACCUAUCCUGAAUCAGGGAGGUAUAACGCUUACAGAGCUGACUUCCGUUGCCAGCACAAGACUUAUGGAGCUGGGAAAAACUCCAGGAAUACCAACUGCCCUGCCACCCUGUUCCUUGUGCUAAAAAGGAGCACAGAUGACAGGAGGUCAAGGCUGUACUACAAAAUCUUCCAGCAACAAUAUGGAGCACCCUCUGGAGAAUAAAUGGUUGCUGACCUCAGGGCACGUAUAGAUGCCAUUAACAACGAGCAUGGCAGUGUUUGUGCGGACGUGAAGGCCAUGGAUGGACAGUUUGUGGUGGUGAUCUGCACAACACGGAUGCAGCGGGUCCACACACGAGUCCGGCAGAGUUGUGAGCUUGUGUUCAUUGACUCCUCUGGGAACUGCGACAGGCAGAACCACCGCCUUUUCCUAGUGAUGACUCACUCUGCUGCAGGGGGGUUCCGCUCGGUGUGGUUAUCACCACAUCUGUGGGUGCAUCAACCCUUGCUGCUGGGUUUGGGUUGCUGAAAGGUCUUUUACCACCAGGCGCUUUCUUUGGUCACGAGGGUGACGGCCCCUAGACAAUCAUGACCGAUGACUGUGCUGCCCUUCGCCAGGCUCUACAUGUCGUUUACCCCGGCGUAAGUCUUUUGCUCUGCACAUUCCAUCUUCUGAAGGCAAUGUGGCGGUGGCUAUGGAGUAGUCACAGCAGAAUCACCAAGGAGAUCAGACCACAGAACCCGAGCUACACACAGCCUAUGCCCAGCUGUCCGGCAGUGCUUUAACCAGAAAAUACCCAAACUUCGCAAAACAUCUGGCAGAGGUGUUUGGGAGACGGAAUGAGAGGGCGCUGUGCUUGCGGUCACACCUGCUAACACAUGGCCACAAUACAAACAACUAUGUUGAAAGCGCCAUGAGAAUCGUCAAGGACAAAGUACUGCACAGGCUGAAGGCCUGUAACCUCACCCAGCUGGU
rnacentral:lncRNA from 15 species